rnacentral:rRNA from 1 species
GACGAACGCUGGCGGCGUGCUUAACACAUGCAAGUCGUACGGUAAGGCCCUUUCGGGGGUACACGAGUGGCGAACGGGUGAGUAACACGUGAGUAACCUGCCCACAACUUUGGGAUAACGCUAGGAAACUGGUGCUAAUACUGGAUAUGUGCUCCUGCUGCAUGGUGGGGGUUGGAAAGCUCCGGCGGUUGUGGAUGGACUCGCGGCCUAUCAGCUUGUUGGUGGGGUAGUGGCCUACCAAGGCGGCGACGGGUAGCCGGCCUGAGAGGGUGACCGGCCACAUUGGGACUGAGAGACGGCCCAGACUCCUACGGGAGGCAGCAGUGGGGAAUAUUGCGCAAUGGGCGCAAGCCUGAUGCAGCAACGCCGCGUGCGGGAUGACGGCCUUCGGGUUGUAAACCGCUUUCAGCAGGGACGAAGCUUUUUGUGACGGUACCUGCAGAAGAAGCACCGGCUAACUACGUG